rnacentral:lncRNA from 1 species
CCCAAAUGUCCUGGUAAGCGGGCGGGGGCGAGACUUCCGCAGUCUCUGCCACACAGCAGACUCCCAGGGCCUGAUGGAUUGGCUGGGUGUGCUGCCCUUGCUCUGCUGGCCUUCGCUCCUAGUAAAUGCCCCUCAGGGUAUGGGGCAAACCCCUCCCAUUGCUGAAACGCAGCCCCUCCUGGAGUGGAACAGGACGCUAUUGCAUGUAUUGCAUCGGUAAUAGCGCUGUCCAAAGGUCUACAAGAGGAAGUCAAAGAAAAGCCCAUCAAGGCCCAUCCAUAACAGCAGGGAAAUUCCAGGUCGUGAGCUUCUACCCACACUGGUGGCAGCCCUGCUCUGUGGUGAGCCCCAGCUCUGCAGCUGUCCUGUAGUGCCUCUGAAGUGCCGACAGAAGGAUGACCCGUUGAGGUGGGCUCUGGCCUGACUGAUGCAAAUGUCAACACCAGCCCCGACCACGAUCAGCAGAUGAGUCCCCUGGCAUUUGGGGUCUGCAGGGGCAAGUGGGUACUGUAAACACCUGCAGUGCUGAGAGCAUGUCCAUCUAGUUGGCUUCCAUGGGGCCCGGGGCCAGCUGGGACAGUGCCGCAGGAAGCAGAAGCCGGGCCCUCAGGCUGUGUGCCACGGUGCUCUCCUCCCCCGUCCUGCAGAUGAGUUGUGUCAGCCUGCUUUCCUUCCCAUCUUGAGCACAGCGUUCAGGGCAACCACUGAGAGGCAAUAAAAAUAAUGAGACCAAGGCGACAGGACCCAAAUCCAUGUUUUUACUUUGAGCAGACCCCAUGUGUGUGCCAUGCAGCGGAGGGGGUGGCCUCUGAUCCUGGAGCCCCUCCUCUGCCUCCUGUCCCCUUUGGGGAAGGGUCUGUCCCGGGGCAGCCUCAUCCCUUUAGGAUCCUGUUUCCCCUCUCCCCGAUGGUCUUUAUAGUUUGCGUGAUUUUGCUUUGUGCACCAGAGAAAUAGGAAUGGGAACAGAAACAGGAUGCAGACGUCCACGGCUUCUUCCCCAGCGUCACACAAUUACGUGCUUCGAGCUAGUGGCUUUGAGGAAUGAGGAAAAACCUGUGGUUUUACCCCAACGUCCAAGAAUUAGACGCAGCUUCAAGGGAGGUGGGGAUUGUCUGGACUUAAAAAUAGGCAUACAACACGUCUAGUGAGGAGAUAUGACCGCCCAUUAAAAGGACAAAAUAGGAGCCCGGCUGUGGGUCAGGGCAGAUACCUUCAAGGCUUUUCCCAGCCAGGCCCAGCCCGGUGGCUGUUGCUUGCUGUUGAGGUUGAGGGCUGAUAAAGAAAGACUUCCUCCAACUUCUAAGGUCCACAAAGAGCAGAGAAUAUCCUGGUGGCCUGUUCCAAAAGCUUGGCUCUCUCUAAGGUCAAGUCAUGCACCUGGCCUGGGUCCCAGUGAGAAGAAAACCCAACACAAGCUCUUGUCACUUUAAUGAGAUGGGACACCCACGUCCUCUUCACAAGGGAUUUUUCUGAUGGGAGAGCUCUUGGAAAACGUACCCAAGGGGGAGAAAACACCGUCUUCAAAAUGGCUUCCGUCAAGUGGACGACGGCUUUCAAUUUUGGACAGAGGAUUAAGCAAGCUGAUGAAGAGCCCGGCCAAAACACUGAAUACAAGCUUUGGCUUCACGAGACUUGUGUCACCCACUCUAUCUUCCGACCACUCCUUCCAGAAGCAUACCUCUCCUGGGGCUUCAUAUCCACGAGCGUAGACUCCUGCAGACGGGAGCUCUGGUCCAUGGGGAUGGGGCAUCUUCCUUUUAUGUCCCCGUGAAUCUCCUUAUUGCUGGAGGAGUUCCCCUCACCAACCAGUUUGUUUUAGAACUUGCGUGACAGUAUUGUUACAUUUGAGCACUCAGAAAUGAGAUGCUGACAUGAGUAGUGAUUUACAUAAAAAUCUUCAUGUUCAUAGUUUUUAGAAAGUGACUUACUCAGAACUUUUCAAGGGUAGGAGUCCCCUGAGCCUGGCACGGUGUCUGACACCGGGGAUGUGCCCAAUGAAAAACUGUUGAAUCGGAAAUUGUCUGGAAAUGUAAAGGCGGGUAACAUUAUGGAACUAUUUUGAACGUUAUUCAUCUUUCUAAAAUAAUUGGAAAAAAUAGCUUGGAGAAAAUUAAGCUUUUGUUUUGAAAUUUGGAGUUAAAAAAAAAAUCUCAAGUGUUUGUAUCUCUGCUGUGUCCUCAUCAUGAACAGGAAAUUUCAAACAUAACAGAGACCCAGUUCUCACUGCUCCCACGUGGCUUCCGUGUGACUUUCAGCUGGAGCCCUGUUGGCUGUCCUUACUGAUGCCACUACUUUUAAAACCUAGUAAAUUUAAACAGCAUAACACAAUAGUGCCUUCUCUUUGUAGUUUAUAAGGAUUCCCUCAUGUAUAUUAUCUCAUUUAAACAGUACUUAAUGCAGUCAUGGGCAUUAAGUGUUAGCAUCCUUGUUAUUUCCAUUUUAUAGCCAAGAAUGUGGGGAUUUAGAGAGAGACUGCGUAACUUACUCACAAAAGUGUCCAAGCCAGGAUUCACUUUUUCCUGCAUAGCGAAGCUUCUAAAAAUGUGAAAGAAACUGAGUUUUGUAAAGACAGAGUCAGAUUCUGCCCAGGUACAGGGAAGUUGUAAGAACAUCUUCUCCUUGGUCGUGAGAAGUAGAAAAGCUGGAGCACUUAGAAAAUCGCACGAGUCCACUUAACUCACAGGCCAGCAUCUCCUAAGACGUCCUUCAGUGUCCCUGUCUGUUCACCAUCGAGGAGCGGUUUAAGUGGGAGAGUCCGGGUAACCCAGGUCCCGGGUCACAGACGGAUGCAGAGCUCUGAGUCCCACAGCCAUGUCCUCUGUGCCUCCUCUCGUCUGGUUCCUUAAGAACGUAACGUGACAGUCACCAACAUCACAGUUAUGGAGAGAGGGUUAGAAUCAUUCUUCUAAAAGAUAGGUGACGAUCCCAUUUAUUGUUAGAACUGGGACACUUUCUUUUUUUUUUUGAGGAAGAUUAGCCCUGAGCUAACUACUGCCAGUCCCUCUCUUUUUGCUGAGGAAGCCUGGCCCUGAGCUAACAUCAUGCCCAUCUUCCUCUACUUUAUAUGUGGGAUGCCUACCACAGCAUGGCGUGCCAAGCGGUGCCAUGUCCACACCUGGGAUCCGAACCGGCGAACCCUGGGCCACCGAGAAGCAGAAUGCGCGAACUUAACCACUGCGCCACUGGGCUGGCCCCAUGGGACUUUCUUAGUGGUGUACCGGAGCUGGCCCAUACUGGCAAUGGGCAAUGAGUCGAUUGCUAAAUUUUCUGGACUUUUUGGAGCCAGUUGUCAAAUACAGCCAUUAUCAAAUAAUGCAGAUUCAAACAAUGCUCUAAUUCCUGCAACUAUGUGAAGAUCAUCAGCACAUUGCAAUCAGUAGCACUGAAGCUCGAAAAGAUUUCUGGGUUUUUUUCUUUUUUUUUUUUGAAGCCUGACACCUGAGCUAACAUCUGUUGCCAAUCUUCUUUUUUUUUUUUUUUUCUGCUUUUUCUCCCCAAAGCCCCCCAGUACAUAGUUGUAUAUUUUAGUUGUGGGUCCUUCUAGUUGUGGCAUGUGGGACGCCACCUCAGCGUGGCCUGACAAGCAGUGCCAUGUCCGUGCCCAGGAUCCGAACCGGUGAAACCCUGGGCCACGGAAGCAGAGCACGUGAACUUAACCACUUGGCCACUGGACCAGCCCCGAGAUUUCUAUUUAACGAAUAUAACUUGUACAAGCAUAAGAAAUAGUUUAAUGGUAGAUCAACAUAUCGGAUUUAAUGACAAUAAAUUUAUUAGGAAAAGAAUUAGCAGACUGGAAGGCAACUCCGUUUGUCAAAUCAUGGUUGAAUUGCAACCACAGGUUGGCCAAGGAUGUAAGAUUUUGUCAAAAACCUACAAAAGCAUUCAGUUAGAAUCAAUCGGACAUAUGGAAUUUACAAUAAAGAAUAGUGUAUAUUUUAUUAUUAUUUGUAGAUUGUGCACUACUCAUCCUUUAUAUCAUAUAUACAUAUAUAUUUUUGAGACCUUAUUUUAAACAUUUACCAGCGCACCACUGCUUUUGAGAAGGAAAGGAGAUGCUGUUAACACAUAUGUUGGAGCCACAGGUGCCCUCAGGACUGUCCCUGGUGCACAGCUUCCCAGGUUUUGUACCGACUCUCAGGGCUGGCUUGUUUCCUUACCAGCUCCCUCCCCACCCAGGGCUCUGCAGAAUCCCUCCAAAAAGGCUUCCCCUCUCUGGGUCCCUUUGCCCCAGGGCAUCACAGGAGCCUUACCUCCUGAAUGGCUUGCUGCGUCCUGCUUGAUCCUUUUUCCAGGCCCAUCAUUUAGAACCAUUUCUGGCACUAUUAGUUCUGAGGCUUUAGGAGAGUCUCUUAAUAUCUGUGCAUCUUCAUUUCCUUACUGCAAAAUGGGACUAACAGCACCUACUUUUCAGGGUUGUAAAGGAUUAGAAAUAGUACCUGUUAAGUGCUUUUCAUGUUUGGCACAAAAUAGAUGCUCAACAAAUGGUAUUAUUAUCUUUCUUGCUGCUACUACAACGAUGACGUCUCUUAUGAUUGAUUACUCCUCCUCCUUUGCUGGCUGCACUCUGUCUCAGACUCCAUGUUUUGGACACAUUUCCAUCACCUGAAGCCUCUGUCACCUUGAUGAUUCUCACCGCUCUAUUCUACUCUAUAAGCUGAGGGCUGCUCCCCCUUUCCUGUGCCCAGUCCUGGCUCGUGGGGUGGUGGUUGCAGUGAGGGGUAACCGGUGGCUGCUCUGCUCA